rnacentral:rRNA from 1 species
CGGCGGACGGGUGAGUAACGCGUGGGUAACCUGCCUCAUACAGGGGAAUAACAGUUGGAAACGGCUGCUAAUACCGCAUAAGCGCACAGUACCGCAUGGUACGGUGUGAAAAACUCCGGUGGUAUGAGAUGGACCCGCGUCUGAUUAGGUAGUUGGUGGGGUAACGGCCUACCAAGCCGACGAUCAGUAGCCGACCUGAGAGGGUGACCGGCCACAUUGGGACUGAGACACGGCCCAA